AGAACUUUAAGUUAAAUUAAACUCUAAAUCUUCAAAAUUUAAAAUAUAUAAAAAUAAGUUUUA
rnacentral:tRNA from 1 species